CUCCGGACCCGCGUGAUUGGCUGGGAUACUAGACGUUGAUAGGAUAAGGCACCCGACAAAACUGGGGAGAGGAGUUCGGGGUCGGGGCCGCGGAAAGGCGGGAGUCGACCCAAAGCUUUAGAAGCCUGGCGCGGGGCACGACGGGACGCCCCCGGGAAGAGGCGGAGCCGUGUCCAGGCUGCGGUUGAGAAAGCGGCGUCACUCGGAGGGGCGUGUUGAGGGUUUCGCGGGCUCGAGCGGGGGAGGGGGGACCGUUAAAGCCCUGCACCGCGCCCACAGGAAGCUGCUUUAAUGGCUAGGCCUACUUGGUACCAGGCUCUCUGUUGGGAAGGACCUUGAAGACCGUGCGGUUCAACUUGCAAUUUGCUGAUGUGGAAACUGAAGCCCAGAGAGGGUAUGCAACCUGUCCAAGGUUACUCAGCCGAUUAGUGGCCUGAUUGGGACUGAGUUCGAGCACUCUUCACUGUCCUUAUCCUUACAGGCCACUCCAAGGAGGUGAAUACUAAUGCAGUCCCUUUAGACCUACUUCUAGAUUGAGGCCUGUGCUGUUACAAGGUCAAGCUUAACGUGGGUUGGAUAUUGGGAUUCCUCCUAGAUCCGCAUCCAUAGCUAUCAGAUACUUGAAGGAAUAGAAAUGUUUCAUCCUGCGAAGGUGCUCCUAUUGUAAAGUUCUGGUUCCGUGAACCAGAAAGAAUGUGUGUACAGGCAUAAAGUUCUUAGCCUUUUUUAGUUACAGCCCUGAAAAAAACUAAUGAAAACUUUUCCCUAGCAAAAUGCACAUAAAGGAAAGGUGCGUACAGUUUCUUGACUUCCUUUACAUUGGUGUUGAGGCUCUGGGUGAAGAAUUUCCUGAAUUGUUAACAUUUGCAUCGUUUUGGCCUAGGGUUAAUUGGAUGUAGCUAGCUUAUAGAGCUCUUUACCAUAUAACUUGAGCCUGUGGGAUAAUUUCCCCUACUGUAGCCAUAUUGGGAAAACCUAAGAGCAACACCGUCCUUGCUGAGAAGUUCCAGCCAAGUUAGGACGUUUCCUGCUAGCCUAGCGGUUAGAAUUAAAUGCUUUCACUGCCACGGCCUGGGUUCAGUCCCUGGUCGGGAGAACUGGACACUCCACAGGCGGUGUAGGGCAGCCAAAAAAGAAUCAGGAAAAUUAGCUAGCUACCUUUAACCCUUAAGAAUGAAGAAGAGGUCUUUCUCUGCCAGAAAUAGCACAUUUCUGCAACUGGAAGUAUGGGGACACCUCCCUUACCCAUCCUGUGACUAGUUAAUUUCUGAUGAUUUAGCAGUCCUAAUCUCAGCCUUUUGCUUCAUAGCAGUCCUAAUCUCAGCCUUUUGCUUCAUCAAUCAGCUGAUGCAGAACUGCCCUGUGUGUGUAACUUUAUUAGGAAUCAGUGAAGGUUAAGUGAGAUGACAUCUGUGAAAACCUUUCAAUUGUCUUUAUGAGGAUUACCCAUGUUACAAAUGAUCCACAGUUCUGUUCCGCCUACUUUUUCCUGGCCUUUUACCAGUUUGCCCCUCUGCUCAGCAUCAGUCAUGAUUCAUGAUACUACCAGUGAGGGCAAACGGAUUUUCAGGUAGCUGGAAUAAAAUGCUAAGAAGAUAAAUGUUUUGUAGCAAAGUUCCAGUCAAACAUAAGACCCUUAACAUAACCAGCUGAUUUUUUUGUUGAACUAAGAUAGGUGCUAUGUAGUCCCUGUCAAAAGCACUCAGCACUAUCAUGCAUUCAGCAGAUUUACUGAGGCACUUAGCACUCAUUUACUGCCUGAGUUCAUGAACCACCUCUGCCACUUCUUAGCUUGUGUGAUUUACUUUGCUUAUAUGUAAAAUGGGGCUAAUAACUACCUGCUUCAUAGAGCUUCUGGGAGGUCUUAGUGGGUUGGUAAGUCCUAGGAUCACUGCCGGCAUAAUAUAUAUGUUAUAUAUACAUUAGCUAUUGUUUAUGUAGUGUGUAUUUUGUAGUAAGCAAGUGGUUCUUGGUCCUUGGCCUGUUAGGAAAGGCCUAUUAAUUUAAUCAGUUAAUCUCAUAAAUAAAUGUAAAGUUGUGAAAGUGAGAGAUAUCAAAGAAUGACCCAGCCAGGAGGCUCAAGGAAAGAAAGUUCACCUGAGAAAGGGAAGAGAGUUACUCAGAUGAAGAAGGGAGGAACUCUGUGUGCAAAGACCCUGUAGUGGGAGGGAGCUUGGGGAUUAUAAGGAACUGCAAGAAGGCCAGUAUGCCCAAAACAUCGGGAACAGGGGAUGGCGAUAAAGCUAAUGUGCAGAGUAGGGGAAAGACCAUCUGAGACCCUUGAAUGCCAUGCAGAUGCUUUUGUCUAUAUCCUAAGACCAAAGGCAGCUACUCAAAGGUUUAAAAAAGGUUGGUGAUAGUAAUGUAGAAGAGCAGAUGCAAGGAAACCAAUUAGGAGGCCAUUGUAAUAAUCCUGAUACAAGAUGUUACUUGUAAAAUGGAGAAGGGUAGAAAUAAUAGUGGAAAUAGAAAUGGUACUGAACUUGGAAACUGAUUGAAGAUUUCUGGGUGGUGAUGCCACAUGCGGUGUUAUGAAGUAGGAGGAAUUGGCGGCAGUGCGGUUUAGUAGAAUGUGGAGAGGUACACAGGCGCUUCAGGUUGUAUCUCUUGAACUCUGAAUGGAGUACAUGGGUUUUAAUAGGCUAUUCUCUAUAACUUUUUGAAUAUCAGGAAUAUUCAUGUCCAAUAAACAAAUUCUGAAAUUAAAGAGAGAAACUGGAUUUCAGUCUUACUCUUCCACUUCCUGCUGUCUAAUUUUGAGCAAGUUACUUAAUUCCUUAGGCCUGUGAAAUGGGAGACUCUGGCACACCACUGGCUGGACUGAGCAUGAAUGGGAGCUGUGGAGUGCUUGGUGCAAGUAUCUCAUUCUGGAAUAUGUUCACCAGCAUAUGUUAAACAAGUGAAUUGGUGAAUGGAUGGGAUCAGAUGGCACUCCAGGCCCAGUCUCCCCACUAACCCAUAGAGCUUAUAUGUGAGGCGACUGGCUGCAAGGGGAGAAGCUGUCAGACUGUGACCUGAUGCCUUUUCCUCCUAAGCAAAGCUGGCUGACCUCAGAGGGGCACAUGCAUCAUAUCCUUUCAGUCCUUGAGAAGUGACGGUCUAGCUUUGUUAAAGGCACUUUAUAACAUGUUACACUUCAUCCUCUCUUCCAGUGUUCUCCACACUAGCACCCAUGUGUACCGUUGGGCUGAUCGAGGCAGCUGUAUCUCUUCGUCCUUCAGAAAUGAUCUCUGUCCUAGGCCUGUGCCUGCUUGGCGUUCCCUCCUCGUCUCUCCCAGUCCUCAAGUCACGCACAAGUUUGUGUCUUUGACCAUUCAUUCCAAUACAUGAAUUUAUUAGAUGUACCCCGUACCUCCCAGGUUAUUUCAGGUGUGACAUGGGGAUGUGAUGUCCAUAAGAAACGUGCAAACCAGAUGUGGUCGUGGAGCUAAAAUAUCAGAGGAGGAGGAGAAUUUUUUUCUGGCUUAUGAGAAUACUUAGUAGACAAAGGGUCUUUGAGCUGAACCUUGAAGGAUUGGAGAACUUCAUAAAUAGAUUGCAAUGAAGCCUUCUCUAAGAUAGUGCACAUUUAUAUCUUCCCUUAUUAACUGUCAUCUUGGAAAUGCUUAUUUGAUGCCUCUGUGUCUCAGUUUUCUCAUCUGUAAAAUGGGGAUAAUAGUUUUAGCCAGGGUUGGCUUAUGGGUGUGAGACCUGUACAGCCACAUGUGUGCCUAGAAAUGUUGGCCCCUCACUAUGGUUUAAUGCUCCGCUGUCACCAUGUUGAAAUUCUUAAUAAUUUUUUAACGAGGGACCCUGCAGACUGUGUCCUGAUCUUGCUUUAUAGGAUUACUGCAAAGUCCUAAGAAAUUUAAUACUUGUGAAUUUCUUAGAACAGUGAGGGCCCAGCAUAUGAUGAGGUUUCAGUAAGCACUAGCUGUUACUGUUACUAUUAUCCUCUGAACUCUUGUAACGAUAUAGCUCACAGUGUACCUUAUAAUUUUUUAGCAUAUAAAUAACCAACAGAGGGCUUCCCUGGUGGUCCAGUGGCUAAGAAUCUGCCUUGCAAUGCAGGGGACACUGGUUUGAUCCCUGGUUCAGGAGGAUCCCACAUGCUGAGGGGCAGCUAAGCCCGUGUGCCGCAACUACCAAGCCUAGGCUCUGGAGCGCUCCAGCCACAACUGCUGAAGCCCAUGUGCAUAGAACUCGUGCUUCUCAACAGACAACAAGAGAAGCCGUCGCAUCAAGAAACUUGCACGCUGCAACUGGAGAGUAGCUGCCCGCUCACCACAACUUGAGAAAAGCCUGUGCAUGCCAGUGAAGACCUAGCACAGCCGUAAAUAAAAAACUGUGGAGUCUUCACUACUGGACCACCAGGGGACUCCAACCACCAGCAGAUGUUUUCCAGUGCCUGUUCUAUAACGGUACUGGACGGGUCACAGAGAUGAAUAGGACAGUAUUUCCUCCACUAGUUGAUGGAAUAAGGCAUGUAUGUUAAGCAUACCUAGUUAGUAAUAAGUAAUGUGUCAUACGAUGAAUAUAGAAAUUUUUUAAAAUAGAUUUUUGGGUUCCACCUUCAGAGAACCUUAUUAGUAGCUCUGGUAUGGGACUUAAGAAUCAGUUCCCCAAGUGAUAUUUUUUGGGGGCAGCAUGAGGGGAACUGUGUUGGGUCGUCCUUGUGGCAUGCAGGCUUUUCUGUAAUUGUGACAUUUGGGGGCUUUUCUCUAGAUAACGUCAUGCAGGCUUAUCACCCUCAGCAUGUGGAUCUUGGUUCCCCACUCAAGAUCAAACCUAUGUCCCCUCCCUACAUUAGAAGGUGGAUUCUUAACCAUUGGACCAUCAGGGAAGACCCUUCCCAGAUGCUUUUAAUGAACAGUCAAGUUUUGAACCAUGGGCAUUAAUGCCAAGGAGGAGAUGGUGGAGUAGAGGCAAAAAGCUUGGCAUUGGAGUUGGUCAGGCUGGGGUUCACCUUCUACCAUCUACUAGUUUUGUUACUUUGCAUAGUUACUUAGCUUUUCAGUUUCCUCAUUUGUAUACAUUAAAAACAUUACUUUAACAAUGAAGUUUUAGGGACUUCCUUGGUGGUCCAGUGGCUAAGACUCUGAGCACUGGGAGUUCAGAGUCUAGUGCAGGGAGCUAUUAAUAGAUUCCACAAGUUCACAUGCGGAAACUAAAGAUCUGCAUGCCCAGUGCAGCCAAAUAAAUAUUUUUAAAGAAAUAAGUGAAGAUUAAAUUUUAAAAUGGUUGAAAAAUCUGAGCACAUAGUGGACACUUAAUUAUGUGCUUUUUCCUCUAGAAGUGGGGCGAUGGUAUCCCAGGAAGAAGCAGUCACAGAGGACUUCCUGGAGGAGAGGAUAAUCCACCUCCAUAAAAGCAGUAUGGUUUUGAUGGGGAGAAAGUGUGAUUACACACUUUAGUAAUAGCCAAGAUAUUAGGUGAAUAUUAGAGGAAUGCUAAGUCACAAAAUAAUUGAUGGGAUUUACUGACUGAUUAAACAGGAGAGAGAAUGCAAGGUGAAUCCUCAGUCUUCAGCCUUAAGUAUUUUUGAGAGUAGUCACUUUAAAAACAAUAUCCUAUAUGUGAGCCAAGUUGGUGCAGGAAGGUGGGGUAGAGGAUGGGGGAGGGGUCAUGUAUCCAGUUUCAGAAACAUUUAGUCUUUAAGGUCAUAAGGGGACAACCAAGGGAAACUACAUUCUCUCUCUUUCUUUAUGUCUCUGUCUCUCUCGCGCGCGCGCGCACACACACCUGAGCCCGUGGUAUUGGAAGCGCAAAGUCCUAACCUCUGGGCCGCCAGGUAAUUCCCAGAGACUGUAUAUUCUUGAUCUGGGAGAAAGGCUGAAGCUUAGGAAAUAAGUUAGAAAUCAAUAGUUCAGAAACAAUCAUCGAGCUCCCAAGAAUAAAUUAUGCCUUGGAGGACAUAGGAAACAAAAGCAAUAAAGAGAUUUGGGGACUGGAAAUGGUGUUAAAAACUAGUGGGCACUAAAUGUGAGAGGGAGAAGAGAAGGAACAGCAGAAGUAGAAAAAGAAAUGGGGAGGGGAGUGUCCAUAGCUGUGGUGGUCUGAAUGUCUUCUCUAAAGGAUGUCCAGAUGCUAUCCCUGGAGCCCAAGAAAAUGUUACUUUACCUGGUAGGAGGUACUUUGCAGCUGUGGUUAAUUGUGGGAACUGGAUUGUCUCAGUGGACCCACUGUAAUCACAAUCCUUAGAAGAAGGAGAUAGGAGGAUGAGUGUCAGAAAAGGAGAGGUGAUGGCAGAGGUGAAGGCCUGAGUGAUGUGGGGCCGUGAGCCAGGGAAUGUCAGCAGCCUCUGAAAGCUGGAGGAGGCAAGGAACAGAUUCUCCCUAGAGCUUCCCAAAAGAAAACAGUUCUUUUUUUAAAAGUCUUUAUUGAAUGUGUUACAGUAUUGCUUUUGUUUUACCUUUUGGCUUUUUGACUGCCAGGGUUGAGGGAUCUGAGCUCCCCCACCCGCCGCACUGGCAGGUGAAAUGUUAAUCACUCGAGCACCAGCAGCCCCAGGAACACAAAUCUGCUGACUCACUGGACCUUCUUUCAGCACUGGAAGAGAAUGAAUUUGUGUUGCUGUAAGCCACUAAGUCUGUCAUUUGUUACAGCAGUGAUAGGAAACUACAGGGGUUAACGGAAAACAACCUGAAUUCCCAGCAGUGACGAAGUGGUUAAGUAAGUUACAGUACAUUACUGUGGUGGACUGUUGUAGUUAGCCAUUAAAAAGUAUGCCGUUAAAGAUCAUCUAACAAUAUGGGCAGUGUUCAUCAUAGAUUGCUGAGUACAGAAAGCAAGUAAAAAUAUUGUAGCUAUUUAUGUGAAAAAUUCAUCAAGAGGUACACUUAAGAGUUACACAUUUUUUGCACUGAACGUAGGCAUGGUAUACCUCAAUAAAAAAGUUUUGCAGAUAUUAUAUAGAUGUCCUGUUUUGUUCCAAAAAGAGAAGUGUAUUAAACCUGUAUUAAACCACUGUAUCUGAAUAGGAAAAAGACUGAGACUGUAUAAACCAUAUGUUAAUAAUGGCUACCUCUGGGUGGCAGAUUACAGAUGAUUUUUAUAUUUUUUAUUUCUGUGAAUUCCAGUUUUUCUUCAGUGAACAGGUAUUACUUUUGUGAUCAAAAAUUAGUUUUUAAAAAUCAAGGAAAAUGGGUAGGGGGAAAGUCUGAAGAAAGAUUUGUAUGCUCAAGGGCAAGGGCCCUGGAACGCCUGGCACAACCAGGCCACUAUCAACAAUUUUCUGCAAAAUAGGUGAUUUAAAAAAAAAAUUGUAUCCCCUCCACCCCCAACAGAAAGGAAUUCAAUCCUGGGGACAAAGAAGGAAGAAGAACAAAGGCAAGAAUAUAGAGGAAACGACCGGAGGAUGUGGUAUGCCAAAAUGAGACAAUAAAUCAAGAAACAAGAAGACAUGUGAUCCUGGAAACAGGAUAUUCAACAGAGCAUUGGACCAGGAGUUCAGGAGUGAAAGCUACAGCUGCCAGGUAUCAGCAGUGAAAUGAGAGAAGCAGAGUUCUCUUUGGCUAUCUUAUGUGAAGAGCCAACUCACUGGAAAAGACCCUGAUGCUGGGAAAGACUGAGGGCAGGAUAAAGAGGUGACAGAGAAUGAGAUGGUUGGAUGGCGUCACCGACUCAACGACAUUCAAGCAAACUCCGGGGGAUGGCAAAGGACAGGGAACCCUGGCUGCUGCGGUCAAUGGGGUCAAAAAGAGUCGGACACGACUUAGCGACUGAACAACAGCAAGAGUUAUCUACAAGUGGCAGUAACAACCCAAUCAACUUUCCUUCCUGACACUACCAUUCAUCACAAAGUUAACCAUCAAACCAUUAGAAGGACCAAUCAUCCUCUGACUUGGUUUCCUAGGGAAAGGAAGUUAUUUGGCCUACACAUUUCCUUACUAUCAGGGUCCCCUGUCUCACUCUUGCAUUAGAAACCAAACACCUUGACCACUUCAAUUGUACUAGGAUUGUUCUAAGAAGGCAGGUCAAUUUGGGGUGGGUAUUUUGCAUUACCAGAAAAGAUGCAUGCUAAGUCAUGCACUCUUUGCUACCCUACUCCAUGGACUGUAGCUCGCCAGGCUCUUGUGUCCAUGGGAUUUCCCCAGCAAGAAUACUGGAGUAGGUGGUCUAUCCCUUCUCCAGGGGAACUUCCUGAAUCAAACCUGAGUCUCCUGCAUCGGCAGGUGGAUUCUUUACUACUGAGCCACCUGGUAUAAGCCCAGAGAAGGCAGAGUCUUAUUGAAAACAACUCUGAGAUCCUAAAACUAUCUAGUAACAGCAGAUUUAUUCUUCAGUCAUAUAUGAUACUGUAAGUAUAAAGUCAACAUUAUAUUACCAAAAGCUUAUUUUCUUGCUGAGAAAAGAAUCACUAGCCCUACAAAUGUGGCUCCAAGUCCAGGACUCAUUUGGAUAACAGAGUUGAAAGACUUGAUUUAAAGCUAUAAACCCCCUCAUACUCCCCAAAUUGCACACUACAGAGAUACAUUCUUUAUAAAAGGGUUCCUUACUUCCUGAAACUCAUUCUUAGAAAAUGCCAGAUAAGAAUUCAUCCACCACUGCCCACUGUCCCAAAAGCCUCUACUGCUUCCCAUGAAUAUAAAAUAACAUUUUCUAUAAGAAACUAACACUUUUGUCUUUCUUCCCAACUUUCUCAUUUCUAAAAAUUUUAACCAAGGGAUAUUACAGAAAAGGGGUUUCCCUGAUAUCUCCAUUGGUAAAGAAUCCGCCUGGAAUGCAGGAGACCCCGGUUCGAGUCCUGGAUCAGGAAGAUAGGCUGAAGGGAUAGGCUACCCACUC